rnacentral:rRNA from 1 species
UACGUAGGUGGCAAGCGUUGUCCGGAAUCAUUGGGCGUAAAGCGCGUGUAGGCGGCCCGAUAAGUCCGCUGUGAAAGUCCAGGGCUCAACCCUGGGAUGCCGGUGGAUACUGUCGGGCUCGAGUCCGGAAGAGGCGAGUGGAAUCCUGGUGUAGCGGUGAAAUGCGCAGAUAUCAGGAGGAACACCAAUGGCGAAGGCAGCUCGCUGGGACGUGACUGACGCUGAGACGCGAAAGCGUGGGGAGCAAACAGG